rnacentral:rRNA from 1 species
ACUCAAAUGAAUAGACGGGGACCCGCACAAGCGGUGGAUGAUGUGGUUUAAUUCGAUGCUACGCGAAGAACCUUACCAAGGCUUGACAUCCUGUGAAUCCGUUGGAAACAAUGGAGUGCCUUUUAGGAGCACAGUGACAGGUGUUGCAUGGCCGUCGUCAGCUCGUGUCGUGAGAUGUUGGGUUAAGUCCCGCAACGAGCGCAACCCUUAUCGUCUGUUACAAUUUCAGGCGAGACUGCCCGGGCCAACCGGGAGGAAGGUGGGGUCGAAGUCAGGUCAGCAUGGCCCUUACGCCUUGGGCUACACACGUCAUACAAUGGCCGGUACAACGCGACGCCAACCCGCGAGGGGGAGCUAAUCGCACCAAAACCGGUCCCAGUUCGGAUUGAAGGCUGAAACUCGCCUCCAUGAAGUCGGAAUCGCUAGUAAACGUGGGUCAGCAUACCACGUUGAAUACGUUCCCGGGUCUUGUACACACCGCCCGU